UUUAUUUUCUUGCUCAAAUCGUCCUGAGCUUUGGCCAUUGGGAACUGUUUCAGGUUGGCUCCUGUGUCCUUUUGACAUCCCCAAGCUCAUUUUUCCUGUCCCAGCCCCAAAGAGCCAUAGAAUUGAGAAACCAAGAUCUGGACACUAGUUGUGUUUAUUGAUGCUGGGUGUCAUUACUUCUAGGCCCUGUCAUCUGACACAGCAAGGAAAUAUAUGUGUGUAUUCUAAUACAUGUAUGCACACAUAUCUAUGUAUUUUUCUGAAUCUGGCUACCUGCAUGCAUAUGUACGAAAAUAUAUUAAAAUACAGAUAUAAAAUAAACAUAAGUUUAUACUGGUAUCUCUUACUGUAAUUCAGCAGCAUAGGGGACAUUCUAGCCUUCUCGUCUUGCACAUUUGUAACUCCUUCCUCUAAGUUGUAUUUAUUUGUUCAACUCUAGUAUAUAUUGCUAACCAGAAGCCCUGAAGAAAAAAAUUUACCAACUUAGGGAUUUCAGAUUAGUAAUCAGAGAUGCUAAGCAAAUGCUAAUACAGGCAUACCAAUAAACAACUGGGACUCUUCCUGGCAAGGGGAACUGAUUAAUAAAAUGGGUGCAAACAUUAAUUGAUGGUGUAAAUUAAGAAUCAAAUCCCUGUUUUAAACAUGUUAUACACACAGUGCAAUCAAGAAAAGCAUUUAACCAAAUUUGUUCAUGAAUUCCAUUGUGUGCUGUUGAAUAGCUAAUUUAUAAUUGCAUUUGUCUGUAAAAUAAUCUAUUAAUAAAAUUGGAGAAAAUUGG
rnacentral:lncRNA from 1 species